ACCGAAACUGGCGGCGUGCCUNAUACAUGCAAGUCGAACGAGAUAGCUCCCUUCGGGGAGUGUGUAGAGUGGCGAACGGGUGAGUAACACGUGAAUAACCUGCCUUCAUGUUGGGGAUAACCAUCUUAACGGGUGGCUAAUACCGGAUGUGGCCCCACAUUCGCAUGUUUGUGGGAUUAAAGAUGCCGUGCUUCGGUGCGGUGUCGCAUGAAGAGGGAUUCGCGUUCCAUUAGCUUGUUGGCGGGGUAACGGCUCACCAAGGCUGUGAUGGAUAGCUGGUCUGAGAGGAUGAUCAGCCACACUGGAACUGAGACACGGUCCAGACUCCUACGGGAGGCAGCAGUGGGGAAUUUUGCGCAAUGGGGGAAACCCUGACGCAGCAACGCCGCGUGAAGGAUGAAGGCCUUUGGGUCGUAAACUUCUGUCAGAGGGGAAGAAAUGCCCGCAAGGGUGCUGACGGUACCCUCAAAGGAAGCACCGGCUAACUCCGUGCCAGCAGCCGCGGUAAUAC
rnacentral:rRNA from 1 species